rnacentral:lncRNA from 1 species
AUCUCAGUAAUUGAGUGCAUCUGCUUGUCUCUGUCUUUAUGCAGCUGGGACCUGGCAAAGGAGAGAAUCCAAUUAGAGGCUGCCAUGCAACAAGUAUGAGGGAUUUGGCUGUGUGGUGAUUCUCCCUUAUCUCCCCCCCACAACCUAAACCCCAAUGUUCUGUGAAUAUUAAGGUGGGCCAAGCAGUUUUUAUACCAGGGGUCAGCAAACUUUUUCAGCAGGGGGCCGGUCCAUUGUCCCUCAGACCUUGUGGGGGGGGCGGACUAUAUUUUUGGGGGGGAAAUGAAUGAAUUCCUAUGCCCCACAAAUAACCCAGAGAUGCAUUUUAAAUAAAAGGACACAUUCUACUCAUGUAAAAACACGCUGAUUCCCAGACUGUUUGUGGGCCGGAUUUAGAAGGCAAUUGGGCCGGAUCCGGCCCCCAGGCCUUAGUUUGCCUACCCAUGUUUUAUGCAUCUGAUUCCUCUUAAAGGGAAACAUACAUCAAUCUUAGGAACAAUCUUGUCUGCUAGGGCUGCACAGCCCUGGCAUCAUGUGUUUAUACAGUAUUUGGCCCCACUGUCUCAUUCAUGUUUUUCUAAUUGCUGCUUAACUCUUAGAAAUAAUGAAAACAUGGAUGUAAACCUUGACCUCAAAGUAAUCAUGCUGUUCUGGGCUUAUGACUUGCUAUCUUAUAAUCAUUGUGUGAGCCAAAGUACUUAAGGCUGUUCCAUUCCAUUUCAUCCUCACUCUUUUUGUAGUCUCACCGAUGACAAAUAAGAUACCUGUAUGGCUAAAUGCAGUGGCACUUUGCUCUUCCAUUGAAUGCCUGCCUGGUGCUGCUCAGUAGUCUCUCACUCCCUCACUUGCUGUCAUUCACUCGAAUGUUGUCACCUGACUCUUUGUUUUGGUGGGCAGGAAACCCAGAUCAGAUGCGCCCAAAUUCCAAAGGUUGUCACUGUUUCCUUCGCCGUGGCAUAAUAGAUCAUUGGAGAACCGGGCAUUUCUCCAACUAAGAACUAUAAUCCUAUGCAAUAUAGCAGUACUCCUGGAAUUCACAAUUUGAUGUGCAAUAAAACACAUGAGAUGUUUUAAAAAGUUAAUCUGGCUAUUAGUUUUCUUCCAGCUCCAGUCAUUUCUGGAAAAUAUAUAAAGCACAUGACUAUAAAUACUAGAAAUUUACUACAAUGCUAGGAAUUGCCAACAGUCCUAGUAUUAACUGAGCUGUUAAGUGCUUGCUACCAGCUGACUGUUAAUAAUUAGCUGCCCAGAUGAUAAUUCAUUUGUUCUAAAAAUGUCAAACCUUUUUAAUGCAUUAAGUGUUGCAUUCCUCUCUCUGAGAUAUUAUGGAAGUCAUAAGAUACCUAGUUGUUUACAUUAUAGAACUCCAUUUUUCACCCUUAAACUGAAUGUUCCAAAACUGCAUGACCUAUGCAACUCAAAUAGAUGCUUGCAUGGAGAAUGUACACUUGUACAGUACAUUGCAAGUGGAAAAUGUUGCUUUUAGAAGUUGACAAGGCUGCAUUGUAAAACCAGAAGCCGCUCAGAUUGUCCAUUGUUCUCUUUUUAGUUGGCAGUCAGAUGCCAAUUCAUUGUGUUGUAAUUGGGUGCCUUUUAAAAUUUGUUUGUUCCAUGUCAUGAGUACAGAGCGAUGCUUUCUUGCAUCUCUGCAAUCUUCGUUAACCUCUUGCUGUACAUGCUAAAAUAGCAAUUGUUAGAUGAGGAAGCUUUCUUUUGCCUGAUUAAUUAAAGUUUAAUAGAUUGAUUUACAGCUGAGUAAUUUAGAGUGCAAUUCUGUACAUGUCUACUCAGAAGUAACCCUCAUGAGGCUUACCUUCCCAGGAAACUGAGGAUUCACUCAGAUUAGUGAAGCAAGAGGAAUGAUCUGGAGAUUUACCAACUCCAUAGUUUGCAUUUUUCCUCUGAGAAUAACAGAUUAGAUGUGACAUAUGGCAUCUCUGUGUUUUUCCCCAUGGUGCAAAUAGCAGCUUUGUGGGAGGAGUAAUUUUGAUUGGAGAAAACAGAGUGGGGAAAAGGCUUAACUCUCACUCCCCCAGUACUGCAGUCCCAGCUGGAUUCCCUGCAGUUGCUAUUUUAAACAAAUAAAAACUGCAGGAACUCUGAUCACAGAUUCCCCAAUGUCAUGCCUAGCUUGGCCCUGAGUAAAACAUUGUUUCUAAACUUGCUAUGCCUUGAGAAUUGUUUUGGUUGUCAUCCUUGUGCACAAGUACAGAGAUACAGGUAUUACUUACUUCUUCUUUACUGGGGGGCAGGGGGCGGAAACUGUCUUGCUCAUGACAGGAACCUUCCAUGCAAUAUUAGUCAUCUAAAUAUUUCUUCAAAUGCCUCUUCUAAAACACAUUUUGAAAGUGAAGGAUGUCUCUAGCCUUCCACAAUGUGAUUAUUUAUUUUAUCUUGGUUCUGAAAAAUCUCUUCAUUGGUGGAUAAAACUUUAACUAAUAUCACAGAACAAUAAAAUCAUCCAAAUUAGACUGAAAUGAAAACAUUUUAGUGCCUUGGAAACUUUGUUAAUCAUGUUAUCUUAGUGUUAUUUGCCCUAAACUUGAUCAGAGAGUAUUGGACCCAAGGUAAAGUGAUCUUUCUUGAAGAAGGAAACCUGUUAGAACAUUCACAAUAUGUCCAACUGUUAGUUUCCUUCUGUUUCUUCCUAAAACUCCUUCCAUUCAUUCCCAGUUUGUUGAUGGUCCAAAGCAUUAGGUUGGAUACCACGUCUAUCUUGUUUGAUAGCUGCUGAUGUUUGUGGGAGAUGAGCCUGAAUGUUUCUUGUUCCUGAGCAAAAUCCCCCGUUGAGUUUAGUAGAUGGCACUACCUCCCACUCAGUAUUCGUGGGGAAGGGGGUACAAGGAUCAUUAAUGGGUGCUUUGGAUGCACUGGCCAUUCUCCUCCACUCACAAAUAUCCAAAGUAUGUGUUGCCAUUGUUGCCUGAAAAUAUAAGUUUCAAGGGUAGAGGUGUGUGUGUGUGUGUGUGCGCGCGUGUGUGUGUGUGUUAUUGAAAGGGAGCACCACAUACUCAAAAACCAUACUGUCUGCUCUGGUAAAUGCAUAUCUGAUGACAUCUCAUCACCUUCUACUAUUUCUGGUGUUAUUGCAGGAUUUCAGGGAGAGGGAAUGUAGGAGCAACUGUUACUGUGAACUUCCCUAGCCAUGGUAGGGAAAAGAAGCCUGACAUUGCUGAUCCAUUUCCCAGAAAUUGUUAGGCUACACUUGUGACUUCAGUAAGGCUGUUUGCUUUUCACGAGUCAUUCUUCAGAUAUGAGACCCUUUUCACAGGAUACAAUGGAAACCUGGCGGAACAGAGAAAACCAGUGGGACAUGGUUAUGUCAGGAUACAAACUUGAUUAGAAGGACAGGGAAGGUUGUACUGGAGGUGGUGUCAUCCUGUGCAUCAUUGAGUCCAGCAAUGCAGAAAUCCCCAAAGGAGCAGAUUCCUACGCAAAAUUUUUGUGGGUGGUGAUAUCAGACCCCAAGAGUAAUUUACUACUGUGGAUGUGCUAUCACCCCACUGCUAAAAUUCUCAUAGAGAUACUGAGAAGAGGAAUGAAAUCAAGUAAACAUUCAAAAGAUGAAAUGUUGUAGUAAUGUGUGACUUCAGCUACCCUCACAUAGAUGGGCUACGUAUGUGUUCCAGUGAAAUUUCCAUAUACCCUAAAUGACUGUGCCCUAGAACAUUUGGGUCAGUGUCCCCCAGACUUACAGACAGACAAUAAACCCCACAUAGAUACCUUAUACCCAGGAGGAACGAGUAAUACAUUAAAAGACAUUCUGUGCCCUUCUAAAAGGCCACAGAGAGUUGAAGGUCGAUUGCCUGGUUAUAGAGAAAAAUUUUGCCUGGCACCUGAAUAUAUGUUAUGAUGGUGCCAGGCAAGCCUCCCUGCUAAAAGCAUUCCACAUAUGGGGAGCCACCCCCAGAAAAAAUACCUGUUCCCAUGUUGCCACCCUCCAGACCUCUCGUGGUGGGGGGAGGCACAUGAAGAAGGGCCUCAGGAGAUGAUUGUAGGGUCUGCGUUGGUUCAUAUGGGGAGAGGUGGUUCUUGAGGUAUUGUGAUCCUGAGCCAUAUAAGGCUUUAUAGGUCAAAAAAUUGAAUUGGACCCAGAAACUAAUUGUUAGCCACUGCAUUCAGGCCAGGACUGAUGUUAUAUGCUCAAACUGUCUUGUCCUGGUAGCAACCUGACCGCUGAAUUCUGCAGCAGCUGAAGUUUCCAAACCAUCUUUAGAGGAAGGCCCAUAUGUAACACAUUGCAGAAAUCAAAUUUAGAGGUUACCUGAGCAUAGACAACAGAAGGGGCAUGACUGAGCUACCAGCCGAAGCUAAUGAAAGGCACUCUGUGCCCCCUCAGUCUCAAGUAACAUGAAUGGAUCCAGAAGUCCUCCUCCAAGCUGCAUAUCCACUCAUUCAGAGGGGGUGUAAUCUCAUCAAGAACAUGCAACCUCCCAUCCAUCUGGUCUAACAGUGCCUCAGUCUUAUCUGGAUUGAGCUUCAGUUUGUUGGCUCUCAUCUGGUCUGUUACUGAGGCAAGACAUCAGUCUAGCACAUUUACUGCCACACCUGCAGACGUAAAGGAGAAUUGGAGCUAUGUGUCAUCAGCAUAUUGCUGACAACGUACUCCAAAACUCCAGAUGACCCCUGGUGGAAAGUAUUGUUAAAGAUAAAAUAACCAAGCAUAUAGAACUGCAAGCCUUGCUGAAGCAGAGCCAGCGUGGCUUCUGCAAGGGCAAGUCUUGUCUUAUGAACCUAAUAGAAUGGUAUGAGACUGUCAACAAGCAUACUGUAGCUAGAGGUGAUCUGGUUGACAUAAUGAGCUUGGAUUUUCAAAAAGCUUUUGACAAGGUACCUCACCAAAGACUCCUUAGCUGGUAUAG